UUUUUAGAACCAUCGCAAUAGAUAAUUUUUACCACGGUUAUUUUUUUGACAAAAACUAAUAUUUCCGGGGAAUUUUCCCUCCAUUAUUUUCUUUACCCGCUUCUUUCAAUUAUAUACAUAUUUACACAGUACUUAAAAAUAAAAACAGUAUUGCAGCUUUAGCUAGGGUUUAGAAAUCCCCAAAUCGCUAUAUACGAACUUCAGAUUUGACUCAUCUUCAUCUUCAUCUUCAUCAUUUCUUCAACAUCCGACUUCCAUAGCUGGAUUUAUCCUUCUCUUCGUGAGUUCUUCAGUAUCAAGAUAGUUGGAUACAUCUUCUUUUCGUUGUAUAAAUCUUUAAUUGGUUGUUGGAUACAUCUUCAUUCGGUUGAAUCAGUUGAAAAUAGUUUGAUACAUCUUCAAUCGGGGUUCAAGUGAAAGACACUUCAGUUUGGUUUGUAUCAAUUCAACCGCUCUUGUUCUACUCAUCUUCUUCUCCAUUCAAUUCGGUUUGAAUCGUUCCCUACAACAGUCUCUUUGUCAAGGAGUGAAACUGAAAGAGUAGAGAACCAGAAAAGAGGAGAUUGGAUCUCUUUGUCUUAAACCUCUCUCCGCAUCAAAAGAUUUAGAAUUUGAGGAAAGUGGCAUUAAUAGAAGACAUUUGUCUUGUGGGGAAAAUACUGAAGGAGGCAAAGAUCAAAGAUACAGGUAUUUCAGGUCAUAGCUUUCUAGUUGUUGUUCAAUGACACGCUAAUGUUUCCAAAGAUGUAUCUUGGUGUUUAGCAUUCAUCUUUCUACAUUGUCUCUGAGUAAACUAUAACUUCAAAUUUCCCAAGAAAAGGACAGGUUCUAAUCUCUCUCCUUCUCCAUCUCAAUCUCUCGGAUUAAAUACUUGAUAACUUGUGCUUGUUGUAAGUGCUAGAUUACUCUGAUUAAAUACUCAAUAUCUCUCCUUCUCUGUUUCUGUUUUCUGUUGGUUCGCUGGCUGUUACAGAUUACAUGGCUGUUUCAGCUAGAUCACACAGAAAUUCUGAAAAUUGUUUCAAAAUGUUCAGCAACUGAUCCAACUGCAACUGGACCAGCAUUUUUAGUGUUGCUUUAUGUUGUACAUGGUAGUUUAAGUGUUGUGGUUAGAAGAACCAAUGAACCAGCAGUACUCAAAAUUAUUUGGCAUAUUGGAAAUACAGAUAGUAGAUAUUAUAGUCAGCAUUUCAGGUCCCUCAGCAACUGAUCCAACUGCAACUGGAGCAGCAUUCGAUACCAAAAUUUUCAAUAGUUUCUGUCUGACUGAAUCAUGAGGUGAAAUUGCUUGUUUUUAAUAUUAUUUUUUGAUAGUUUGCUGAUGUCCUGCGUAUGUAUAUGUGCUUGGAUUUCAUAUAUUCUUACAAAAAGUUUCCUGUUUUACAUUCACUAAAAAUUUAAUGGAAAUUGAUUCAUUUUUCAAGAUUAGUUGCAUAUUCCCAUAACGUAAAAGAGACAUAAGGGAGAAAUUUGUGCCCUUGUAAGCAUUAUAGCAAUAAAGUUGAAGAAGGAACUGUGAGUGGAAGGUCAUUAUUAUACAUUGGUUUUUCUGACAUGCUUGUUCUUUCUGGCAUGCUUGUGACGAUUCUUUCGGUCGAGUUACAAUGCUGGGAUGUACUGUGCUUGUGUUUGUUUUCAGUUUGAAAAAGUCAGAUUUGUACAAAAAUGAACCAACAACAGCCUACAAAGAAUAACAAAAGAGCAAGGAACAGGACAUUUAUUAAAUCUAAUUUUAUCUAUUAAACCAAUGCCUUUAUUAAAUCUCACGUGUACAGCUUCUGUAAUACGAGAUAUUUUGGGGUUGGUAUUAAACUUCAGGAGGUCAUUACAAGUGAUCAUGACAUAGAAGAUGGCGGCGGAAACGAAAUUGAUGAACUAGACCUGACUUAGAUAUCGAGCACAUUGGCUUCAUGUCACAGUAGCUGUUGGAAAAACUUAUGUAUGUUUUCAUUGGGAUCUAUCACAUUAUUUGACCGAGUAGUUUCAAACAUUUUUUUAUUUUUGAACAUUGAAAACUUGUGUAUGUUUUGAUUUUUUUGAACGGUCAAAAAAUAUUUGGUUUCUUGUUGGUUGACAAAA